GCACAUUUAGUGCAGACACGCAGAGUUCCUCAGGAACAGCAAAGGAGGCUUUGCAUUCACAGCCAGGCCCAAGAUAACUCUCAGUCACAAGUGAUGUCCAAUGGAAUUUUGUAAGCAUGUUUUUGUAUGUUGGGAGGAAAAAUAACCAAGAAAAUCUUACCUCUACUGUUGGCUUUGUGCCUUUGUCAUCUGAGAUUUGGGAAGUUCCAUGAAGGCUCUCAUGAUGAGUAGCAGGACCACGAGGGGGCUUCAUCUCUCAGGACCAGUUCUUCAAGUCAGCACAGUUUGCAAAGGACAGCUUUGCUACCAGACUUGAUUUCCAGGCUGUAAUUCAGCAGACUAGCAGAUGUGCCAAGAUCUGUGAGUACUGUGCUGUUGUGCUGACUCAGAGCCAGAGCUGUGCAGUGUCAGCACCUGGGAUGGUUCCAGACCUCAAGUGUAAUGCCAGCGUUCACCUCCGAGUGUGAAGAAGAGCAGCUGACCCACAAUAUAUAGACAAAUAUAGGAACAAGCCAGGACCAGACGGACUGUGCAGCGAGGGCUCCAGCUCAUAUGCUGUCUGGAAAGUAAGUCUCUCCAAAGUUCAACCAGCUGUUUUCUCACCUAAAUGGAGUUUGCUUCGAUUCCUCCUGGUACCAACAUUACUGGA